CCCUAACCCACUCCUCCCUUCGAAGGGCUUCGACAUUCCUGGUAAUUUGAUGCCUCUGGCAGGGUAGACCAAAGCUGCUAUAGCUGUAGAGUAAGGCUGUGUUGCCAUGUGACUUCAAUGAGGAAAUAUAUAUCAUAUUCAGGAAAUUAGGAGAUAAGUGAUAUAUAUAUAUAUUGUGCUGAAACAAAGCAAAAAAGAAAAAGUACACAGGCAAUAGGUACAUUUUACAUGGAGUCAGAACUAAUUUUGAUGGUGGAAAAUGAAAUGUGGUGGUGUGGAUUUUCUCAUUUGAUGAUGUGUCAGCUGUAACUUCAACUACUACGUGUUGCAAUGAGCUAACCAGCAGAAUUUGUGUUGACAUCCAACAUUACUCCCUGGGAUAAAUUCAGUGAUCCGUGAAGUCUAAGCAGUACAGAAGUGCUAUUGCAUACUCUGAGACACGCAGCGUGGAGAUGAAUGCAGCAGUGUAAUGAAAGGACCCUGAUGUGCUGCCCAUAGUGUGUAACCCCGCAAGGUUUCUCGUAUGAGUAAAUGCCUGUGGACUUGAGCCAAAGCUUGAACUGAUUAGCCUGAGAAGACCAGUACUAUCACCAGACCGCGUGGUGUCAGAACAAGAUAAAACUGUACAGCUUCUGAAACUCUGUUUAAUUGUACUUCCCAAGAGCUUGUUCAGCAAUGCCAAUACAUUAUGGAAUCGAUGGGGAACAGGAAGAAGACAAGCAGGAAACUGUAAGUGCCCAAUACAAAUGUAUUUCUAUGACUUUAUAAUGGCUUGAGCAGAUGUGUUAUUUUAUAUUCAUCUAGGUGUAUUUGGUUAUUAAUACUUUAAGACAGUUCCCGACCAGAGUUGCUGCUCUGUUGCUAAUCAGUAACCCUUUGUUUCUCUUUCGAAAAGAACUGUCUUUUUAAAAGAUCCUUCUGAGCACUUCUAUUUGACUAUGUAACCAUGGGUAUAUGGUUAGUUACCAGUAACAAAUCUGUGGGAGUGAAUCAUUUGGCUUAGUUUUAGACCUAAAUAAAAAUUGUGUCUUUGAGAUCUGAAAAAUUUAA
rnacentral:lncRNA from 1 species